rnacentral:SRP_RNA from 1 species
AUAGCAUUGGAAUAUGACAGUUCUAUGGGGCUUGUGCAAGGAGAGCCUGUGAACCAUGUCAGGCCUUGAUUGGAGCAGCAUUAAGCGGUCACUCUCUUGUGCCACGAGGAAACCUAUAGGGCUGUCAGAUUCGAGUGCUAU